rnacentral:rRNA from 1 species
GACGAACGCUGGCGGCGUGCCUAAUACAUGCAAGUCGAACGCAGUGGGGACGGGUGAGUAACACGUGGGUAACCUCCCAUCAGAGGGGAUAACACUUGGAAACAGGUGCUAAACCCAAAUUGAGGGAGGGACCGGCGGUGCAUUCGCUAGUUGGUGGGGUAACGGCUCACCAAGGCCACGAGGCAUAGCCGACCUGAGAGGGUGAUCUGCCACCCGGGGACUGAGACACGGCCCAGACUCCUACGGGAGGCAGCAGUAUGGAAUCUUCGGCAAUGGACGAAAGUCUGACCGAGCAACGCCGCGUGAGUGAAGAAGGUUUUCGGAUCGUAAAACUCUGUUGUUAGAGAAGCGGUAUCUAACCAGAAAGCCACGGCUAACUACGUGCCAGCAGCCGCGGUAAUUC